rnacentral:rRNA from 1 species
GACGAACGCUGGCGGCGUGCCUAAUACAUGCAAGUUGAGCGCUGAAGGUUGGUACUUGUACCCAAUGGAUGAGCAGCGAACGGGUGAGUAACGCGUGGGGAAUCUGCCUUUGAGCGGGGGACAACAUUUGGAAACGAAUGCUAAUACCGCAUAAAAACUUUAAACACAAGUUUUAAGUUUGAAAGAUGCAAUUGCAUCACUCAAAGAUGAUCCCGCGUUGUAUUAGCUAGUUGGUGAGGUAAAGGCUCACCAAGGCGAUGAUACAUAGCCGACCUGAGAGGGUGACCGGCCACAUUGGGACUGAGACACGGCCCAAACUCCUACGGGAGGCAGCAGUAGGGAAUCUUCGGCAAUGGACGAAAGUCUGACCGAGCAACGCCGCGUGAGUGAAGAAGGUUUUCGGAUCGUAAAACUCUGUUGGUAGAGAAGAACGUUGGUGAGAGUGGAAAGCUCAUCAAGUGACGGUAACUACCCAGAAAGGGACGGCUAACUACGUG